UUACCAAUUGUAGAAUACUAGCAAAUACCUACUUUAUUGCAGUAACGCCACGCAAGAAAAAGAGAUGAAUCGGAAAUUCGGCGGAGGGAAGCAGCCGACGGGAACUCCGUCGUUGGCAUGGUCGUCCGUCGUCGUAGUCGCGUCACUACUCGCCGGCGCUUCCAUUGUCCACAACAUCUACAAGCCUAAUCUGAAAAUCCCUCCAACCGCAGACGUUGAUGAGCAUAAGCAAGAACAAGGGCAGAAGCUAUAAAACCAUGCUUUCAAGAUUUUUUUAUUAUUUGAGCUUCAGAAUAAUAUUUCGAGUUGGAGAUUGGCUCAAAUGCUAAUGAAAUUUUGUUGAAAGAUUUAUUAGAUUUCUGUGUGAGUUUAUCAUGACUGAAUGUGAUUCAUUUUUCAGCUAAUACAUAGCAGCAGAAACUAUAAGAACGUUUAGGAUUA